rnacentral:rRNA from 1 species
CCCUUAGAUGUUCUGGGCCGCACGCGCGCUACACUGAUGCAUUCAACGAGCCUAUCCUUGACCGACAGGUCCGGGUAAUCUUUGAAUCUGCAGCGUGACGGGGAUAGAUUAUUGCAAUUAUUAAUCUUCAACGAGGAAUGCCUAGUAGGCGCAAGUCAUCAGCUUGCGUCGAUUACGUCCCUGCCCUUUGUACACACCGCCCGUCGCUCCUACCGAUUGGGUGUGCUGGUGAAAUGUUCGGAUCGGCCGUUUGUCGCGGUUUCCGCGUCAUGUGGCUGAGAAGUUCAUUAAACCCUCCCACCUAGAGGAAGGAGAAGUCGUAACA